GUACUUCCUUAGGGAGCUGAAGAAAUUCAACCUGCCAACACGGGCGAUGAUGCAAUUCUACACUGCAAUCAUCGAGUCCAUCCUCAACUCCAUCACCGUGUGGUACGCUGGAGCCACUAUCAGGGACAGUGGCGGUCCUAGCCUGUUUGGCGCCACGGGCGAACACUCUCUCUGCCCAAUGGUGUGCUUGGUUAUCCUUUCAUGAGUUAUUUACAAGUUUCUCUUUGUUCACAGCCAUUGAUAUGUCGAAGAGGUUAACAUGUUAGGAGCGGAUGGAAAUUGUGUUGAUAUCUGGUGAACGCAGUAACCGGGUCAUUGCAGCAGAUUUCAAUGCAAGACACCCUACGAGACCACCCAUCUCCCAUGCUACAGUCAGCAAACUGCUCGCUAAGUUUUGUGAAACUGCUUCAGUGUUUAUUUUGCGAAGCAGCAGGCGCACCUCGCAAACGGAGGGCGCCCUUACUCCCAGCAAAUGGGCGAUAGAAAACCGAUCGGUGCCUGUACCAUUCCCAAUAUGCGCCGGCUGAUGUCGGGGCAGCAUGAGUACGAGCAAUUUUUUUUUUUUUCGCCGAUGCCCGUGAUGCCGCCCCCCACCACGAUGCCGCCCCGGGCAACCGUUGUGCGCUCUGCUGAGAAGGUGAUUGGCUGCAAACUCCCAUCUCUGCAGGACCUGUACACCUCCAGGACACUGGGGCGUGCAGCUCAGAUCACAGCUGACCCUUCUCACCCUGGACACAGUCUGUUUCUAUUAAGAAAAAAAUAUACCAUCUCAAAAGAAACACAACUCAAACAUGCACACAACAAGACAACACAGCCUGUUCCCCUACAGCACAGCAGAUUUCAACAUAAGCCACAGCACUAUAACCCAGCUCAGUGUAUUCAUCAGCAGAAAUAUCUUAUUUUAAUAGUUUUUAAAUAGAGUGUUUGACAGCUUCGCGUGUCAUUUUUCUACAAUGCCAAUCCGAUUACUCAUAUCAUGUGAGGAUGAAGACAGCACUGCUUGAUAAGAUUGUCAAGGUGUGCUGUGUUUUGGUGAAUAUGUGCCCCAGUGUGGUUGUC
ensembl:lncRNA